rnacentral:rRNA from 1 species
GAUCAUGGCUCAGGAUGAACGCUAGCUACAGGCUUAACACAUGCAAGUCGAGGGGCAGCGAGAGUGUAGCAAUACACUUGUCGGCGACCGGCGCACGGGUGAGUAACGCGUAUCCAACCUGGCCCUUAGUAGGGGAUAGCCCGGCGAAAGUCGGAUUAAUACCCUAUGUUCUCCUUUGAGAGCAUUCGAGCAGGAGCAAAGAUUUAUCGCUAGGGGAUGGGGAUGCGUCCGAUUAGGCAGCAGGCGGGGUGACGGCCCACCUGGCCGACGAUCGGUAGGGGUUCUGAGAGGAAGGUCCCCCACACUGGUACUGAGACACGGACCAGACUCCUACGGGAGGCAGCAGUGAGGAAUAUUGGUCAAUGGGCGUGAGCCUGAAACCCAGCCAAGUAGCGUGAGGGACGACGGCCCUACGGGUUGUAAACCUCUUUUGCCGGGGAAUAAAGUGCGGGACGCGUCCCGUUUUGUAUGUACCCGGAGAAUAAGGACCGGCUAAUUCCGUGCCAGCAGCUGC